AGCCUGAUCCAGCCAUGCCGCGUGCAGGAAGACUGCCCUAUGGGUUGUAAACUGCUUUUAUACAGGAAGAAACACUCGGACGUGUCCGAGCUUGACGGUACUGUAAGAAUAAGCACCGGCUAACUCCAUGCCAGCAGCCGCGGUAAU
rnacentral:rRNA from 1 species